UGACCCUGAUGGUUUGAAUUUUGAACUUCGUUGCUCUGGAGGGAAACCGAAAACUUUCGCUCUCUAUAUAUACAGGUGGCGCGGAGCAGUGGAAAUCCAUCGAAACCAGUCGAAGAUGGCGCCCAACAGCACGGUUUCCCCAGCUUCAGUGCUGACCGAGGCGUCCAUCUCCACGCUGGCACUAGGCGGUGUGCAGGUUAGUAGUUGUAGUUAGGAACUAACCAUGGUACGCAACUGAUCUUGUGCAAUCCACUUAAAAAAAUGUCUUCCAUGUACAUGUGUUUAGUGAUGAUGUAGGUUUGGAUGGUCUCGUUUUCCCUGAUCCAUCGUCCGUUGUUGACAGCCUUGCUGACGAGGUCUCGGAUCUUUACCUAGUUUUGAUUUGUUUUUCAUCAGAUCGCCUUGUUUGACUAAAAAUUAACAUGAAUAAUCGUUGCGUAGGCUAGUGUAAUGGCACAAGGUCCGAUGAUCGAUACGGAGAUUGCCUUGGGUGCACCGGCAGUGGCUAAUGUUGAUCAUGCCGUGGACGCCCCUGAUUGGUGGUUGGAGGAAGAGACAGCAGAUUUUGACCCUUGCGUUGUACCUGCGGUUGCGGUUGAUGCAUGCGAGCUGUUGGGUGGGGACGAAAUGUCGGUGACAGGUGCUGGUGAAGCUGGGAGCGAAGAAGACGAUGCGGAGAGCCGCCCAUGCAAGCGUGCUA